GACGAACGCUGGCGGUGUGCUUAACACAUGCAAGUCGAACGGUAAGGCCCUUUCGGGGUUACACGAUUGGCUAACGGGUGAGUAACACGUGCGUAACCUGCCCUCCUCUCUGUGAUAACUGUCUUCAACGGUUUCUAAUUCUUGAUAUAUGCCUGCACCUCCUCUUUUGGGUUGGUUGGAUUUUUUGGUUGGGGAUGGAUUCGCGGCCUAUCUGCUUGUUGGUGGGGUAGUGGGUAACCAAGGCUUCGUUGGGUGGCCGGCCUGAGGGGGCGAACGGCCAAAUUGGGGAUGAGGAAAGGCCCAAAAUCCUACGGGAGGCAGCAGGGGGGAAUAAUGCAAAAUGGACGGAAGUCUGAUGCAGCAAAGCCGCGGGCGGGAUGAAGGCCUUCGGGGUGUAAAACGCUUUCAAUUGUGAAGAAGCUUUUUGUGACGGUAGCAGGAGAAGAAGCACCGGCUAACUACGUG
rnacentral:rRNA from 1 species